UACGUAGGUGGCGAGCGUUGUCCGGAUUUACUGGGCGUAAAGAGCGCGCAGGCGGCUGGUCAAGUCCGAUGUGAAAGCUCCCGGCUUAACUGGGAAAUUGCAUCGGAAACUGAUCGGCUGGAAGGUGGGAGAGGGUAGCGGAAUUCCCGGUGUAGUGGUGAAAUGCGUAGAUAUCGGGAGGAACACCAGUGGCGAAAGCGGCUACCUGGCCCAUUCCUGACGCUGAGGCGCGAAAGCUAGGGGAGCAAACGGG
rnacentral:rRNA from 1 species